rnacentral:rRNA from 1 species
AGUGAACGCUGGCGGUAGGCCUAACACAUGCAAGUCGAACGGCAGCACAGUAAGAGCUUGCUCUUACGGGUGGCGAGUGGCGGGCGGGUGAGGAAUACAUCGGAAUCUACUUUUUCGUGGGGGAUAACGUAGGGAAACUUACGCUAAUACCGCAUACGACCUACGGGUGAAAGCAGGGGAUCUUCGGACCUUGCGCGAUUGAAUGAGCCGAUGUCGGAUUAGCUAGUUGGCGGGGUAAAGGCCCACCAAGGCGACGAUCCGUAGCUGGUCUGAGAGGAUGAUCAGCCACACUGGAACUGAGACACGGUCCAGACUCCUACGGGAGGCAGCAGUGGGGAAUAUUGGACAAUGGGCGCAAGCCUGAUCCAGCCAUACCGCGUGGGUGAAGAAGGCCUUCGGGUUGUAAAGCCCUUUUGUUGGGAAAGAAAAGCAGCAGGUUAAUACCCCGCUGUUCUGACGGUAGCCAAAGAAUAAGCACCGGCUAACUUCGUG